rnacentral:rRNA from 1 species
GACGAACGCUGGCGGCGUGCUUAACACAUGCAAGUCGAACGGAAAGGCCCUGCUUUUGUGGGGUGCUCGAGUGGCGAACGGGUGAGUAACACGUGAGUAACCUGCCCUUGACUUUGGGAUAACUUCAGGAAACUGGGGCUAAUACCGGAUAGGAGCUCCUGCUGCAUGGUGGGGGUUGGAAAGUUUCGGCGGUUGGGGAUGGACUCGCGGCUUAUCAGCUUGUUGGUGGGGUAGUGGCUUACCAAGGCUUUGACGGGUAGCCGGCCUGAGAGGGGGACCGGCCACACUGGGACUGCGAUACGGCCCAGACUCCAACGGGAGGCAGCAGUGGGGAAUAUUGCACAAUGGGAGGAAGCCUGAUGCAGCAACGCCGCGUGCGGGAUGACGGCCUUCGGGUUGUAAACCGCAGUCGCCUGUGACGAAGCGUGAGUGACGGUAAUGGGUGAAGAAGCACCGGCUAACUACGUG